rnacentral:rRNA from 1 species
GGAAUAUUGGACAAUGGGCGCAAGCCUGAUCCAGCCAUGCCGCGUGAGUGAUGAAGGCCUUAGGGUUGUAAAGCUCUUUCACCGGAGAAGAUAAUGACGGUAUCCGGAGAAGAAGCCCCGGCUAACUUCGUGCCAGCAGCCGCGGUAAUACGAAGGGGGCUAGCGUUGUUCGGAAUUACUGGGCGUAAAGCGCACGUAGGCGGAUAUUUAAGUCAGGGGUGAAAUCCCAGAGCUCAACUCUGGAACUGCCUUUGAUACUGGGUAUCUUGAGUAUGGAAGAGGUAAGUGGAAUUGCGAGUGUAGAGGUGAAAUUCGUAGAUAUUCGCAGGAACACCAGUGGCGAAGGCGGCUUACUGGUCCAUUACUGACGCUGAGGUGCGAAAGCGUGGGGAUCAAACAGGAUUAGAUACCCGAG